GAACAGGAGGACCUUGCAUAGGAGCCGUGCGACGCGGGCUUGGGUGGCCUGGUCAAAGUGAACUGUAUUCGUACAGCAACGUAGCCGGAAUGGCGGGUUAGAAUUGAUUUCUGAGCAAGUCAGCCAAAGGGGACCCAGGAAUUCUUUUGGCACCACAUCGGACAGGGGACAUCCAGCCUGUGCUGUGACAUUUGUAGAGAUGGGAGGCUCAGUGCCUCGCAAGCUUGCCCACUCUGCUGUAAGAUAACCCGGAACCACUGGAAAUGUCUUCCUUCUUUGGGACCGCAACUGGGACUCUUGGUUUGGGGGAUGCCUCCAGCAGCACCUUCCGCCCUACCUUUCUCUUGCCAAGCUCCAGAACUCUCCUGCAUUCCAAAUCACUCAGUGCUUCAUGGAUUCGGUCCUUCUCUGUGCCCAUCAUUCAUCCAGACGGAACCCCCAGCCGUUUGAUGGUCUGCCCUCCAUUCAUUCCCAUCACUCAUUCAUGGAGUCCUGGAAUGUCAGAGCUAGAAGGGGGCCUCAGAAGCGAUCUGGUCCAGUGGUUUGAAAAUGAGAACACAUUUUUCAAAGAGAAGCAUCUGUGGACGCUCUAUAGAGAAAAUAGA